rnacentral:rRNA from 1 species
GACGUAGGGCGCGAGCGUUGUUCGGAAUUACUGGGCGUAAAGGGCGCGUAGGCGGCUAGGCAAGUCAGAUGUGAAAUCCCCGGGCUCAACCUGGGAACUGCAUUUGUGACUGCAUCGCUGGAGUGGCGGCAGAGGGGGAUGGAAUUCCGCGUGUAGCAGUGAAAUGCGUAGAUAUGCGGAGGAACACCGAUGGCGAAGGCAAUCCCCUGGGCCUGCACUGACGCUCAUGCACGAAAGCGUGGGGAGCAAACAGG